AGCGAGUCAGUUUUCAGUUUUAUUCAUAAUUUGCAUAUUUUACAUCGUGAAGGGAAAUACGGCUGUGCUUAAUUUAAAGUUUAGUCUAACACUAUGGAUUGUAUAAUCAGAUAAGUCUCACAAAAUUUUUAUUUUUUUGUAUGGAGUAAGUAUUCUGAGAUAAGAUGAAUACUUUGUGUUAUGUUUUAUUUUUAGUUAUAUUAAAAGCAAGAGAGGAAGAAACACUAUUUGAGCGUAAAGUAGAAGAGUAGACGAGUAAGGAAAGAAAGAUGUAAAAGAGAGAUCAACCUCACAGCUUGGAAUUUACAGUGUGCCGAACAGAAUAUGUGGACCUUGAAGGUAUCAAAUAACAUAAUUUUACUAAAAAAGUUAUAGGAUGAAGUAAACAAUUUAUUUUUUGUGUGAGAAAGUAUCUAUUACAAUUUAACUUGUUCCGAGAAAACCUUUGCAAAAGAUUUAAUAAAGAACAAGCAAUUUGAUGAGAUUAUCAUAUCAUUAUUAUCAUAUUUAUUAUUCGAAUUUUAAAGAGAAACAGUAAGAAAUUUUAUUAAUACAUUAUUAAAAAAUUGUUGGCUGUUACACCAAAAUUCUCUUUCUUGUAAGCUGAUGUAUGCUAUUGAUAAAAAAUUCACCGAAGUUCAUCCCUGUUUUAGCUCAGCGAACCAUUAUAUGUAUAGAGAAUUGACAGAGCAAUUCAUAUCAAAAGGAUUAUCUAAAGGUGUACGUCCUAGUUCUUCAAGUAUGUUAUUUUAUGGCAUUAUCUUAUGGCAGGCUAGAUUACUAAAAUAAAUAAAAAACGUGAAAUCUGAUCUGAAACAAUUACAACAAAGUAUACAGACUAAUAUCACUCAACUAACCUGCCAAUGAUGUGGUCGCAGGCUGUAAUAUAGGAAAUAUGUUUAUGAAUGUCAAAGAUCAUCUGUAGGUCUUAGUCAUUUAGUAACUGUCAUGCAUUUUGUGUCAGCCAGAUAUACGCCUCAGAAAUAUACUGAUAAAGCUCUUAGUUACAUUAAAAACUAAAAAGUAAGUAUUUAAAUACUCUGUUCCCAAAAUAAUUUAUUCUAAUUAAUACAAUUCUCUUCAUACAUUCACAAUAAUAACAUUCAGAAUUUUUAUUUAUAUUUUUGAUUCUCUAACUUAAUUGUUUGUAAAUUGAGGCAUAUAUAAGACGAAAGACUACAAAAUAGGCAUAUAUGAGACGAAAGACAAAAUAAGAUAUUUUUAUUUAUAGAAUAAUUUAAGAAUGACCAGUGGAUGUGCGUAUGAUUAUCUGGAAAUGUGCACAAAAGUGGAACUUGAGAAGGAACAUUUGAUUAUUCCCAUCUCUAAUUUGCUGGGUUUUAUUCUAAAAACAUAUAAUGGCUAUAAUUUAUUCUUACCUGUUCUAAUCCUUGUGAAAAUUUCUUCAGCUUUUAUAAAUUUCAGUUAUUCUUUACGUUCUUUUAAAUUUUAAGAAGAACAGUUGUCCGAAUGAUGUAAGAAUAAUUG